rnacentral:rRNA from 1 species
UACGUAGGGUGCGAGCGUUGUCCGGAAUUAUUGGGCGUAAAGAGCUCGUAGGCGGUGUGUCACGUCGGCCGUGAAAACCUGCAGCUUAACUGUGGGCGUGCGGUCGAUACGGGCAUCACUGGAGUUCGGCAGGGGGAGACUGGGAAUUCCUGGUGUAGCGGUGGAAUGCGCAGAUAUCGUCAAGAACACCGAUAGUGAAGACAGUUUACUAGGCUCUACUGACGCUGAGGCACGAAAGUGUGGGGAUCAAACAGG